UGAGCUUUCGUCUUAUGAUUGAUGUAUCAUUAAUCAUUAGAUGAAAACUCACG
rnacentral:pre_miRNA from 1 species